rnacentral:lncRNA from 1 species
CCCAGCCAAGAGCUGCUGUUGGUGAGUACACCCUUUGACCCCAGGGCACUGCCACUCAAAUACUGACCUAUGACCCUCUGCAGCCAUGAGACCCCCUCUAAGAAGGCCCUUCCCUCCGAGAGUGGUAUCCAGGGAUCUCUGAAUGGGGCUUAGGAUGGAUAUGCUCACAUUCAGAGCCCAGAUGCCACCCCAACCCCUGGCCUUGAGCCUUGCACCUUUGGGGCUGUGGUAAGGGCUGGGCACAGCUUUAGAAUCCAUGUCGAUGGGAAGGGGCACACAUGGGUGAGAGGGCCCCCAUUGUUGAAAACAGUUUUGAGCUGGGCAUGGUGGCUCAACACCUGUAAUAACAGCUACCGGGGAGGCUGAGGCAGGAGGAUCACAAAUUUAAGGUCAGACUCAGCGACUUAGUGAGACCCUGUCUCAAAUAAACAAAAGGUUGGGGAUACUGCUCAAAGGUAGGAUGCUCCUGGGUUCAAUCCUCAACACGACUGAAACAAAACAGCCAGCUUUGAGAAAGGUCUUGGCUCCAAGUUGGGAAUUCUUAGGUUAAGUUCAAUAAUUGCUCUUCUGUGGCUGGAAAGGGACAGCUCACCUGGGCUAGCUCCUGCUGAGCAUCAGGAAAGGGACCUCCCCGUGCCCACCCUACUUCAGCAGUUAUCACCCCUGCUCUAAGUGCCAUUCACUCUCUGUCACUGCUGCUAAUACCUCCCAGGUGGCAUCUCUUGGCUCUCUGCUCCCAGGCCUGCCUGGGGUCUGUGCUUGCUGAGAGAGCACGGACCCACCCCACAUGGGGCUCUACAGCUUGAGCUGGGCCCAGCCCAGAGAACUCCAUUGCCCAGGAUCUGGAGGGGUGGUGGUGACUCCUCCAACCCAAGCCAGGUUUAGAUCCUAGUUACCUAAAAUAGCCCCAGCUGCGUCUGAGGCGGACACUCCUCCUGGAAUGAGGAUAAUGGGCACAGGGACGGCGUGCUGCCUCUGUGAUCUCAGGCCCUGGUACUGCACUGCAGCAAACAGGGGGCGGGACAGGGAAGCUGUCUAGGAAACAGGGGCUGGGGGUAGGGGAGCAUGCUCCUCACUCUGCUGCCUGGAGAGCAAGCCCACCUAGGCUGUGUAUGCCUCAGCCUUCCCACUGCCCAGGCUCCCUGACCUAGGAUGUCUGGGUUCUCUGCAGGGACAGCUUUGUUGCUGACCAAGUGCCCUCCCUUGGCAGCUUCUGCCCACUAGCACUGGGAAACCUAGGUGGACUGCGUCCUUGGUCUUGGCAAGGCCCUGUGCAGCCCUGCCAGCUUCCUUUGGCAAAUAUGAACACAGCCCACAGAGCUCCUCAGCCAACCUGGCCUCUGGGCCCUCACAGAUCUGUCGGAUGCAGUGACCACCAUGCCCACAGGCUGUCCUGGGCCCCUCCCCACACCCUCUCCAGGCCUUACCUGGCCUUGGGUCUGCAGUACCUCCAGGCCCUCACUCCGGAGCUGCUCCAGGGCCACGGCCAGCUGCAGCCCCUCCAUGUGCACCCAGGCCUGCUCCUCCUGCAGCUGCUGCAGCCACAGCUGCUCCUCCUGCCACAGCUGCAUCUGCAGCUGGACCUGUCGCCGCCGAUCCUCCAGCAGCAGCUGCUCCUGGGCCAGGCACAGCUGGACUUCAUGGAGCCUUAGCAGUUCGGGGCCCAGGGCCGGCAUGGGGCCCCCUGCUUCAUGGCCCUCCAUGUGCUCAGGGAGGACCAGCACCAGCUCAGACCCCACAGCAGUGGCCUGCACUGGCCUCCAGGCUGCCUCUGGCUGCUCUGUCCUGGCUGCCCUGGGGUGUCCCUGAGAAGCCAGCUGUGUGCUGGUCACGUGCCCUGUAGAGGCCACCCUGGCCUGGUCCCAAGGGCCCCCUGUAGCGGGGGGCGGGGGCUCAGCCCCGGGGCCCUGCUGCUUGGUGGCCUGUGGGGCCCUGCCUGCCUUCCUGCCUCGGGGCUUGCGAGCUCGACCUCGCUUCCCAGACAUGGCCCUGGAUCCCGGGCCUCUUUCCCCAGGUGUCUGCUCCCCAGGGGAGGGCCUGCUCAUCCACUGGUUGCCUCAGUACGGCAGCUCAGGGGGCAUCCAGAGGCCACGGUGGGCUGCUUGCUCCCCCGCCACGAUCAGCCCUGGGCUCCUGCCGUCCCAAGUGCCUUCCCUGCCCCUUGGCCGGCACCCGUAGCACCGCAGCUCCUGGCUCUGCCUAGGGCCUCACAGGCCCCACUCAGCAGGGCUGGGCCACGCCAGGAGUUUAUAGGGACUCGGCGGCACAGUGGCUCACCCAGGCCGAGGAGCUGACUAACGUGCUGACACGGGCCACAGGCCUUGUUGGCCAGACUGGGAGGGAGACUGAGAAACUGGAGGCGCCGCAGCAGCUAGACCGCAGUGCGCAGCGGCCUGCCUGGUCCUGCCUGGGCGGCACCCAGGCCCCUCACGCUCCCCCGCCCCACCCCUGGUCGCGGGAAACUUAAAAUUCCAGCCACAGGGCCAGAAGCUGUGUGCUGGCCACACUGACCAUUAGGACUCAGUCCCUCACAGGCAUAGACCAUCCCAGUGAAGUCCCAGCCCACCUGAGCACUUUCUGGGUAGCAGGCUCAGUGGAGCCCCUCUGGGGCUUGGGCUCCCCUGGGUUCUGUGGAGGAACAGGGUCCCACUGUCCGAGCGUUGUGGUGUCCAGCGGCCCUGUGGGUUGGUGAAGACACCAGUUCUUCAAAGGCCCAGAGAAUGUUUUGAGGACUGAGACGGGCAGAAAGGAAGAGCCUGGUCUGCUCUUGUGAGCAGGUGGGGACCUAACUGGGAGUCCAGCUCCCCUGCCUAUUGAAACAGCCCAGGAGCUGUCACGAGUCCUGCCUAUGGGUACCGCCCGGGUGGCAGUGGGGUCCAGGGCCAGCUCCAACACUGGCCUUUCUGUUGGAAGGUGAGGCCUUAGAUGGCCUCCUUAGUGUCUCCCCUGCCAGGAGAGGGGUGCUGCUGACACCCCCCCCCCAGGCCCCACCCCAAGCAGCCCGCCACACUGGCUGGACUGGUUUGCCUGGCCCAUCCCUGCACCACACUCCUCCUGCUCAGCCCUGCCCAGAAGCUCAGAAGCAGACAGGAGUUCCUGCCUGGAAGCAAUGAGUUGGACAGAGAUGGGAAGGGCUUGGAAGACAGAGGGACCCUGAUCUGACCACAGGGUGGGGGACAGUAUGGGUGCAGGGACCAGCCUGCAGCAAGACUGCAAGAGGGCCAGCAGCAUGGUGGUCCUAACCAGGCUGCACCAUGCCCACCCAGGACUCACAGGGCCUGGGCUUCCCAUCCCAAGUUCAGGGCAGCUCUGCCUGCUGGCCCUGAGGGUGACCCAAGUCAGGUAGGCUCUGCAGUUGGAGAAUGCUGUGGGGCAGCUCAUUAAUGUCUCAGUAAUGACAUUACCUCCGCUGUGGCUCCCUGCAAGCUGCGACACAGCAGCCCUGCUGGUGUCCCAUAAAUGCCGGUAUCAUAAAUAUCUCCUGAGGUUGAUGGGUGUUGGGGGACAUUUCAAACCCAGACCACCCUGACUGCAGCUUUCCCCAGGGAGACGAGGAGAGAACAGCCAGUCGCAGAGGAAGACAGGCCGAGAGCCGAGGGGGCCCACACCCCAGGAGAUCCUUGAGGCCCCUGCAGGUGAGCGCCUACCCCACUUAUCCGCGUCCUCUCAGAGGGCAGGCAGGAAGGGGGCUUCCCUGGGCAGGCAGGCAUGGUAUGGGCGAAUGCGCAAGUGCGCAUGUGCCGGUAUUCGCGAGGACUUGUGUUUUCACGCGUGCAGCACUGCAAGCCCCUCCUGUUCCUCCUGCCUGAGUGGCCUGUCAGGGACGCCCUGUCCCUCCACUUCUCCUGCCUUCCUGGUGGUUGGGCGUCACCUGAUCUGCGUGUGUCGCUGGCAGGAAAGGGUGCUCCCCUCUGGGCCCGCGCAUUCUCCCAGGGCUCCUGCCCUGGGCCUGCUCACCCCGCCCCUCCUUCUCCAGCUCACCUUCAGCUCAGACUUCUGCGCUUGCGCCCCAACCCUGCAUUCAGCUGCCGCCAAGCCCCCUCCUGGGUGUCCUGAAGCUCGCCAGUGCAUCAAAAACAACUUCUCCACCCCUGGUCCCAGAUUGGUCCCCGGGGAUGGCGCCCCGCCACCAGGGGGCUCCCUGCGUUCCCUGUUCUCCCAGCUGCUCUCAUGGGGCACUGCCUCCCACUUUGCUUCUUUUAGUAGAAUCCUCAGAGGAGAGGAAGCAAGUGGCUCUCCCAUCCCACAAAGGCACCCUACACCAUCCCUGAAAAAGGACACGGGGGCCAGAGAAGGCCUGUGAGGACUGAUGCUGUUUUAUGAUAAUUGCCUAUGCCUGACGGACUGACCCAUGUGGACAGUGGGUGGUGGAGACAGAUGAGUUGGGAGAAUGCCCUGAGCUGGAGAUUGUGCUUGAAGGCAGGCAGAAUGCUAGGUAGCAGAGCGCAGGCCAGGCUGGCCCCAGGGCAGUGUGCUCAGCAGGGCCAGCACCGCAGCUGUGUCAAUGCUGCAGUCACCAGUUGUUUCCACGUCCCAGUGAGAAAGCCACUGUCAGGGCCUGUUCUUGGGGACAGAGGAGGGAGGCUUGGAUGUCCCCAUUCUGCUCUCUGUCCUGGGAAGUGGGCCCUAGAGGGCUGACCCCAUCCUGCACGAAGGCCAGCUGCUCUACAGGGCAUGAACCAGGACACCACCUAUAAACCCAGUUCGCUGGCCGGCUCUUGUUGCUGGAUCGUGGGUCCCAGCUCAGAGAAGUGCUGUUGGGGUGCUGGGGCUGUGCGUGUCUGAGGAACCUGUAAGUACGUCCAGUAAGGUGUCCAGUUUGGCUGGAGUGAGGCUGCUCCUUCACAGUGGAAGGCACUGCUUGGAGCUGCCCCAUCUCUGGUGCAGGCUUAGUCUGCACUGAAGUUGAGGGCACCUGUAGGCGCCACCCUGUGGUGGUGGUCCCAGGCUCAUGCACUGUGGGAGUGAGUCCUUGUGUCCUUUGCAUAAGGGACUGGUGGCCACCACCACACAGUGAGUUUCCACUCUGGGACUGUCCUAGAGGCUGUGGGAGCACACCUCUCCCUGCCCUGUUGCUGCCCCAGUCUUUCCAGCUUUCUGACCCUCUGCUGGACUCUCAGCCAGAGCAGAUGACCUGGUGAGGAGAAUUCACUCCACAGGACAGUGUCUAUCCUGGGCUGGUAUUGCUGGGCCACACAGACUCCCUUCUUGUCACUGUAGCCUCUCCCUUAGGGGCCUGCUGGCCAGCAUCUGCAAGACAGUUGUGAUGUCCACCAGGUUGUCAGGUACCUGCUGUGGUGGCACUCUCUGCCUCGGGGGGCCCAGGCCACACCUUCCUCAGACCUCUGCAUCCCUGCUGGCUGGACUUGUCCAUCUGAGGGUCCUGAUGAGCUAGCUCUGUCUGUGCCAGUGCCCACUCUGUCUUCCUAUCCACGGCAAGUGGGUGGCCAGGGACCCACUGGGUCUGCCCCUCACUACUGGCCUCGGGACCUUCUGGCACAGGGGCUGCCAAUGGUGGCAGUGCAGCUGGAUUGGUGCUGGUGCCGGGGGUGACUGGGUACCCUGCCCAACCCUUUGCUCGUCGUCCUCUGCCCCCAGAGGACUGUGGUGGACAUGUGUGCGCUGUGUGCUUUGUUCACCCCAUCCAGCCUGCCCCUCGCCACCCUUGGCCACAUGCACUCUGCUGUGUCCUCGAUGCCAGGACCGUGAAGCAGAAAGCCAGCUUGUGAAGUGGCCCAGGGGCCUGCGCGGCACCCUUCCCUCCCACACCCUCGAAGGCUGCGUCUGUGAGUGUGAGGUCCAUGCAGGCUGGCAGUCACGCCUCAGCUGACCUCUGUUUCCCCAGAAGCCCUCCCAGGCCUCUCAGUGUGUGGACCAGCGCAGCGUCUCCUGAAGGGACAGUGUGCCUCUGAGGUCCUGGGAGCUGCUGAGCACUGGGCCCUCCUUGCUGAAUGGAGGCACUAGGUGCAGUGAUGUAUGCCUCACCUUAGGAUGUCCAGGCAAACCCAGACCCAGCCUUGCAGCCUCUACCUGGGCCAGCAGAGUGUUAAGAUGACCCUGUCCCUGUCCUUCUUCCUUGCUGCAGUGAUUACUGAGAACCUAGGUCUUACAACAGUGCACACUGAGCCGGGCGCUGUGGCCCACCCCUAGGAUCCUGUCGGCUCAGGAGGCUGAGGCAGGAGGAUCACGAGUUCAAAGCAGCUUCGGCAACUAAGCAAGGCCCUUAGCAACUCAGCGAGACCCUGUCUCUAAAUAAAAUACAAACUAGGGCUGGGUUGUGGCUCAGUGGCCGAGUGCCCCUGGGUUCAAUCCCCGGCACCAAAACAGCACCACCACCACCACCACCACCACACUGAGUACCUCCUGGGCUCCAGCGAGGGAGCAGCAGGGCGUGCUCUUACCUGGCGAGGCUGAAGCAGAAUCUGUUGUGUGCCCCCUUCCAGCUUCUUGACAUGCCCCCAGGCUUGAGGCCCCUUUUUCUCGAGAGUCAGCGACUGUCCCCGUCUCAUCUCCUUCCUCUGGCUCGCCCUUUCCCCACCUGCGGUGGCACUGGAUCUAGGUGGUGAUGGAGGACCCCCGACCAGUCUCUUUCUCUCUUUGUUGGUAUUCAGGUUGAACACAGGUUCUCACGCAGGUCAGCAUUCUGCCCCUGGGCUACAGCCGAGGCCCUUUUGUUUUUUAUUAGGAUGCAGGGUCUCACUAAGUUGCAGGCUGUCCUCGAAUUUGCAGUCCUCCUGCCUCAGCCUCCUGAGUCUGUGGGAGUAGCUGGCCGUGCACCACUACCAUCUCCCCAUUUUAAGGUCAGCCAAUUAGUGACCUUAUUUCAUCAGGGACCUUAACUCCCCUUUCCCCUGUACUCUCAGAGGUUCCAGGAAAUAGUGUGGACAUCUUGGGAAGGGGGCAUUGUUCUGCCUACCUGGUCUUUAUGAGUAUAUUAAGACAGAGGCUCAGAGAGUAGCCCUGGCCUUGGGUAGGAGGGUGAGGGUGCACUGCAGUCUUGGCCAUUGAGGGCGACUGGUUUUGCAUCUGCCUACCAAGUGCCAGGAACUGUCGACCUGCUGCAGUAAAGAGACCACAGCCAGCGGGCAGUACUCCUGAGUGCCUCGCCUGUUCAGCUUCCUGGAGUGCAUCCUCUUCUGUCUUUGUUAAUUUGCUUAUGCAAAGGCCAGACAAGCGAGUGGAAUGGUGAUGCUUUGGAGACUGCUCCUGCUUCCCUACCUUCCAUGUUGGUAUUAAUGGAUGCAGUUCCUCCAGGAAACAAAAUACUAGCGACCUGGUUUGCUUCGGAGACGGAGCAGGAAGUUUCAUGGACUCCUGCGUGCUCUUUCUUCCAUAAUGACCCCUUGCUCCACUGGCCAAGGCACCAGCAUGAGUCUCCCACCAGCAGCUGGAUCUGUUUACCCCAACACAUGGGACAGAAUCACAUCCCAUCACACUGGAUGGGGAGGGCCAGGCCACAGCACCAUCUGGCACUUGGCCUGUAUCGUAGAGAAGAUGCUGCUGCCAUUUGCUUCAUCUAUUUUUUAGUCCUAACAGAUUGUCUGGCAGCAUAUCUACAGUUUUUUGUUUAUAAAAUUUAUCACCUGCAAAAUAAUUAUAUCACCUGCAAGAUAAUUUUAUUCUUCCUUUCCAAUUUGGGUGCAAUAUAUUUCUUUUUCUUGCCUAAUUCCUCUGGCAGGGACUCCCACUUCUGUGUUAAAUAGAAUAUGUGGAAGCAGGCAUUCUUUUCCUUCCACCCUUUCACCAUUGAGUAUGAUGUUUGCUGUGGGUUUUUCAUAAAUGACAUUUGUCAGACUGAGGAAAUUUCUUUCCAUUUCUAGUUUGUUGGGUGGUUUUGUCCUGAAAAUGGGUUGAAUUUUGUCAAACGCUUUCUCUGCACCAAUUACAAUGAUCAUGUGUGUUUUUUCCCCUUUCAUUCUGUUAAUGUGUUAGAACUGAUCAGUUUUCAUGUAUUGAACCAUCCUUGCACUCCAGAAAUGAGUCCCACUUGGUCAAGGGGUCUGAGCCCUUCAGUGUGCUGUUGAAUGCAGCUUGCUGGUGUUUUCUUAGGGCCUCUGCACCAAUGCUCUAAGAGGUAUCGGUCUAGAAUUGGCUUGUGGUAUCUGUCUGGCUUUGAUAUUAGGUAAUGAAGGUCUCACAGAAUGAAUUAGGAAGCAUCCCAUCCUCUUAACUUAUUGAAAAAGGUGAGAAGGGUUGGUGUUACUUCUUUAAGUGUAUCAGAGAAUUCACCUCUGAAGCCGCCCUGUCCAGGGCUGUCCUUUGUUGGAAGAUUUUGAUUGUGAGUCCAUCCCUUUACACUUACAGGUCUGUUUGGACUUCCUGUUUUUUCAUGACUAGUCUUUUUAGCUUUUGUGUUUCUAGAAGUUCUUGCAUUUCAUCUGGAUCAUCCUAUGUGUUGUUGUACAGUUGUUCUGAUGGUCUUUUUUAUUCUGUGGAAUCAGCAGUACUGUCCCCACUUUCAUUUCUUUUUUGAGGGGGCCUACUAGGGAUUGAACCCAGGGGCACUCACCCACGGAGCCCCAUCCCCAGUUUGUACUUUAUGUAGAGACAGGGUCUCACUGAAUUGCUCGGUGCCUCCACAUUGCUGAGGCUGGCUUUGAACUCGCGAUCCUCCUGCCUCAGCCUCCCCAGAGCUGGGAUGACAGGCUAAGCCACCGUGCCCGGCCCCACUUUCAUUUCUGAACUUAGUAAUUCGCAUCUUUUCUUUCUUUUUCUUUACUCUCUAGUUAAAGGUUUGUUGAUUUUGUUGAUCUUUUUGAAGAACCAAGUUUUAGCUGCAUUAUUUUCUUUUUCUAUUCUCCAUUUCAUUUAUCUGUCUCUUUGUUUCCUUCUUUAUGCUGUCCUUGAGUGAGUCUUCCUCUUCUUUCUUCUCUUUUCUUUUUCUUUUUUCCCUCCACACUGGGAAUUGAACCCAGGGCCUCGUGCAUGCUAGGCAGCUGCCUUGGCUUGCUUCCUCCCUGACUUAUCCUCAGUUCUGUUUUAAUUUUAUUUUGAGACAGGGUCUUGCUAAGUUGCUGAGGCUGGCCCCAGACCUGGGGUCCUUCCGCCUCCCCCACAGACGCGCACCUCUGUCCUUGGCAUUAGCCUUCUUUUCCUAGUUCCUUAAGUAAAGUGAGGUGUCCAUUGGAUGUCCUUGUUUGAUGAUACGAGCCUUCACAGUCACAGUCGCCCUCUCAGCACUUUUUUGCUGCAUCCCACAGAUUUUGGUGGGUGGCAUUCUGUUUUAACCCAUCUCUGCUUUCGUUUUUUGAUACUGGCAAUGGAACCCAGGGGCGCUUAACCACUGAGCCAUGUCCCCAACCCUCUUUAUUUUUUAUUUUGCGACAGCAUCUUGCUAAGUAGCUGAGGGCCUUGCUAAGUUGCUGGGAUUGGUCUGGAACUUGUGAUCCUCCCGUCUCAGCCUCCAGAGCUUCUGGGAUUACAGAUGUGUGUCACAAUGCCCAACUGCGUCAGGUGUCCUGAUGGUCGACAUUAGGUCAGCACAGGUUGGCGGCUGGUAGACACUCUUGUAUUUUGAAUCUGUUACUGCUCUGCAGUGUCCUUCCUUGUCUCGAUACAAACAUCACUCUGUGUGAUAGGGACAGCGCCAGCCCUUCCCCCGUCAGUUCCUGUUUGCAAUGGAAUAUCUUUUCAUCUUUUCCUUUCAACCCGUUUGUGUCUUUGGAUCUGGAGUGAGCCUUUCCUAGAUACCACAGACUCUCGUCCCUUCUGCCAGUUUCUCUCUUUUGAUUGGAGAGUGUUGUAGUCAGUUUUUUCACUGCCACGACCAGACGACCUGAUGAGAGCAACGGGAGGAGGACCUCGUGGUUUCGCCAAGGUCUGCCACCAUCUUGGGCAGUAGCCGGGCCUCCAAGGGCUGUGGUGCAGCCGCCUCUGAGUGCUGGUGGCUGGGCACAGGGCAGAACUUCCUGGGCCCUCUUGUGCAGGCAGAAUGCCCCUGGGUCUCUUCUCAUGGGAGUUUUUUCUUUUACAUUCUUAUUGUCUUUGGGUAAAGUAUUUAGAAUCUGUAAUGUCCUUAACAACUACAGUUUCCUUAGUCCCAGUUUUAUGACCAAACUGUAAGUUUUUAAAAUCUUUCAGCUCUGCUUUCUGCUCCAGAUUAUCACAAUGAACUUGGCUAAAAGCUGACACAAUAUUCGUCGUCUGCCUGAAUGCCACGCUGUCUAGAGUAAGAAGUCCAUCAUCUGUAAAUCCAGCCUCACAGAAAGUCUCAAGGCAGGGGCAAAAUGUUCUCCACUUUUAGCCAAAGCCUAACACAAACGGCCUCUCUUCCAGUUUCCAGUAGUCCUGCUGCUGCUGCUCUGAAACCUCGAGCCCAUCUUCCCGUCUGUAGUCCUUCUGCAGUCGCCAUCAAGGUCCAUACGACAUUCUGAAGCUUUUCCAGGCUGCAUCCCCAAACUUCCCAAAAUCCCUCCACAAAUUCCAAGAAGCUCCAAAGGCUUCUGAAGCUGUGGUCAGGUCAGUCACAGCAACGACCCCACUUGUCAGGAACUAUUCCUGUUGCAGUCAGCUUUGUUGGUCCAUGACAAGAAUCCCCCGAUAAGAACAAUUAGAGAAGGACACGUUUAUUUGGGGGCUCCUGGUUCAGAGACCUCUUUUCCCCCACAGCCAGCUCAUUCCUUGGUCCUGAGAUGAGGCAGCCUCUCGUGGCAGAAGAAAGAGGGGGGGGGAGGAGGAGAGGGAGAGGGAGGGAGGGGGAG